AUUGAACGCUGGCGGCAGGCCUAACACAUGCAAGUCGAACGAGUGGCGGACGGGUGAGUAAUGUCUGGGAAACUGCCCGAUGGAGGGGGAUAACUACUGGAAACGGUAGCUAAUACCGCAUACCAUCGGAUGUGCCCAGAUGGGAUUAGCUAGUAGGUGGGGUAAAGGCUCACCUAGGCGACGAUCACUAGCUGAUCUGAGAGGAGGACCAGCCACACUGGAACUGAGACACGGUCCAGACUCCUACGGGAGGCAGCAGUGGGGAAUAUUGCACAAUGGGCGCAAGCCUGAUGCAGCCAUGCCGCGUGUAUGAAGAAGGCCUUAGGGUUGUAAAGUACUUUCAGCGGGGAGGCGUUACCCGCAGAAGAAGCACCGGCUAACUCCGUGCCAGCAGCCGCGGUAAUUC
rnacentral:rRNA from 1 species